ACGUUUAAAGGGUACCAUUGUGAAUCUCACAUGCCCCUCCUGAAAUGUUCGGUCACUGGAAAUUACAGCAUUUACGAUAGCAUAGAAAUCUAUUCAUUUCAGAUCGAUCGACGAGACGAAAUGACGAAAAAACCAUAAAAUUAGUUAGCUGAACAUGGUGUACAGGAGUAAUAUGUGACACAAUGUCUAUUUACGAUAUUGCAGCGGUUGACCGACUCACCAGCCUCCAAUCCAGAUCUUCAGGGAGAACUCAGAAAUACACAGGGGUGACAAGUAGACUUUAUACACGGAGCAUGGCUCGUGUAACAACAGCUGAAAAACAAAUUUAAAACAUUUCUAGCUUUCUCAUCAGGAAAACACAUUCUUUAAA